rnacentral:rRNA from 1 species
UACGUAGGGGGCUAGCGUUGUUCGGAAUUACUGGGCGUAAAGCGCACGUAGGCGGUUUUGUAAGUUAGAGGUGAAAGCCCGGGGCUCAACUUCGGAAUUGCCUUUAAGACUGCAUCGCUAGAAUUCCGGAGAGGUAAGUGGAAUUCCGAGUGUAGAGGUGAAAUUCGUAGAUAUUCGGAAGAACACCAGUGGCGAAGGCGACUUACUGGACACAUAUUGACGCUGAGGUGCGAAAGCGUGGGGAGCAAACAGG